rnacentral:rRNA from 14 species
GUAGGGGUGAAAGGCCAAUCAAGCCGGGAAAUAGCUGGUUCUCCGCGAAAACUAUUGAGGUAGUGCCUCGAGCGGACACCUUAGGGGGUAGAGCACUGGAUGGGCUAGGGGGUCGCGAGAUCUACCAAACCUAACCAAACUCCGAAUACCUAAGAGUGAUACUCGGGAGACAGACGGCGGGUGCUAAGGUCCGUCGUCAAAAGGGAAACAGCCCUAACCUACAGCUAAGGUCCCCAAGUCACGUCUAAGUGGGAAAGCAUGUGGGAUUUCCAAAACAACCAGGAGGUUGGCUUAGAAGCAG